ACGUAGGGGGCAAGCGUUAUCCGGAAUUAUUGGGCGUAAAGAGUGCGUAGGUGGUUUUUUAAGCGUGAGGUGAAAGGCAAUAGCUUAACUAUUGUAAGCCUUGCGAACUGGAAGACUUGAGUGCAGGAGAGGAAAGUGGAAUUCCUAGUGUGUCGGUUAAAUGAGUAGAUCUGAGAAGGAACCACAGGAGCGAAGGCGACAUUCUGGACUGUAACUGGCUGUGGGCCAUGAAAGCGUUGGGAGCAAGGAG
rnacentral:rRNA from 1 species